GCUGACACAUCCCGGCCAAUCUCCAGCAGACCCUCCCUCCCAGACCCUCCCACCUCCUGGACGGCAUCCAUGUUGAAGCUGCCUUCAACAUGGAUGCUGUCCAGGAAGUAGGAGGGUCUGGGAGGGAGGGUCUGCUGGAUAUUGGCAGGGAUGUGUCAG